rnacentral:rRNA from 1 species
AUAGCGUAUAUUAAAGUUGUUGCGGUUAAAAAGCUCGUAGUUGAAUCUGUGUGCCACGCUGCCGGUUCACCGCUCGCGGUGUUUAACUGGCAUGAUUGUGGUACGUCCUACCGGUGGGCUUAGCCCCUAGCGGGGCGGCCCAACUAAUAUCCCAUCGCGGUGCUCUUCAUUGAGUGUCGAGGUGGGCCGGUACGUUUACUUUGAACAAAUUAGAGUGCUCAAAGCAGGCUAACUUCGCCUGAAUACUGCGUGCAUGGAAUAAUGGAAUAGGACCUCGGUUCUAUUUUGUUGGUUUUCGGAACCCCGAGGUAAUGAUUAAUAGGGACAGAUGGGGGCAUUCGUAUUGCGACGUUAGAGGUGAAAUUCUUGGAUCGUCGCAAGACGGACAGAAGCGAAAGCAUUUGCCAAAAAUGUUUUCAUUAAUCAAGAACGAAAGUUAGAGGUUCGAAGGCGAUCAGAUACCGCCCUAGUUCUAACCAUAAACGAUGCCAGCUAGCGAUCCGCCGAAGUUCCUCCGAUGACUCGGCGGGCAGCUUCCGGGAAACCAAAGCUUUUGGGUUCCGGGGGAAGUAUGGUUGCAAAGCUGAAACUUAAAGGAAUUGACGGAAGGGCACCACCAGGAGUGGAGCCUGCGGCUUAAUUUGACUCAACACGGGAAACCUCACCAGGCCCGGACACCGGAAGGAUUGACAGAUUGAUAGCUCUUUCUUGAUUCGGUGGGUGGUGGUGCAUGGCCGUUCUUAGUUGGUGGAGCGAUUUGUCUGGUUAAUUCCGAUAACGAACGAGACUCUAGCCUGCUAAAUAGGCGUAAUUUAUGGUAUCUCGAAGGCCCCCGGCUUCGGUCGGGUGGUUUUUACUACCGACGUAAAAACAAAUCUUCUUAGAGGGAC